AUGGCUACCACGCCGGCGCUCCACGACGCGCUGCUCGACUUUACUUCGCGGGAGAACUGGGACAAGUUCUUUGCCCUCCGCGGGGAUGGCGACAGCUUCGAGUGGUACGCGGAGUGGCCGCAAAUCAAGGCCCCGCUCCUGUCGCUCCUCCUUGGGGAAGAGGGGACGGAGAUCCUUGUCCCGGGGUGCGGGAGCUCGUCGCUCUCGGAGCAGCUGUACGACCUGGGGUUCCGCCGCAUCACCAACGUCGACUUCUCCCGUGUCAUCGUGGCCGACAUGCUCCGCCGGCACGCCCGUGUGCGCCCUCAGAUGCGUUGGCGCGUCAUGGACAUGACCAACAUGCAGUUUCCAGAUGGUUCGUUUGAUUUCAUACUUGAUAAGGGAGGAUUGGAUGCUCUUAUGGAGCCGGAGGUUGGCACAAAACUGGGGAUGAAAUAUCUAGACGAGGCCAAGAGGGUUUUGAAGUUAGGCGGGAAAUUUGCGUGCUUUACUCUAGCAGAAUCCCAUGUUUUAGACCUACUUUUGUCCGAGUUCAGGUUUGGAUGGGAUAUGACUAUUCAAGCUAUAGCUAGUGAACCCUCUAGCAAGUCUGCCUUCCAGACCUUCAUGGUGGUCAUGGUAAAAGGGAAGAUGGGUGUUGUACACACAAUAAAAUCACUAGUGGACCAGUCUGCUGAAUACUGUAACAUGCAACAGGCAAAUGCUGUAAUUCAUGCUCUGCAAAAUGAGAACAAAAUCCGGGAGUCACACAAUUCUGGUGUUGAUAUACUUUUCUCGUUGCGAGAUCUUCAGCUGGGUGCUAUUGGAGAUCUAAAGGUUAUUGUUCCAGGACGAAGGAGGCAGUUAAUUCUCGGUGAACAAGGAAGCUCACUAUAUUGCUACAAAGCUGUUUUAAUGGAUGCCAAGAAUCAAACUGAAACAUUUGCAUACCACUGUGGAGUUUUUAUUGUUCCUAAGGCACGAGCUCAGGAAUGGUUAUUUGCUUCAGAGGAAGGGCAGUGGCUUGUUGUUGAAAGUGCAAAGGCUGCUCGUCUAAUCAUGGUAUUCCUCGAUAGCAGACAUGCAAGUGCUGACAUUGAUGUUAUCAAGAAGGAUUUAUCUCCUCUUGUUAUGGAUCUAGAACCUGAAUAUCCUGAAGAGACAGACCCUAUGCCAUUCAUGAUGGCCAGUGAUGGUGUGAAACAAAGAGAUGUUCUGCAGGAGGUAACAUCAGAAAUAACAGGUCCUAUGGUUGUGGAAGAUGUUCUUUAUGAAAAUGUUGAUGGAGACCAAAGCUGCAUGUCUGAAAAAAUGUUCCGGCGACUUAUUUUUAAAAGAAGUUCUGGCUUAGUGCAAUCUGAAGCAUUGUUAAUGAGAGAAUCACCAAGUGAUGAGAUGGACAGUAAGACCAAGAACUCAUCUACAUCAUCAAAAAAGAAGAGCCAGAAAAAGGGACUCACUGGAUCCAAGGACAGUCUGAGGGUCGACCAUAGCUAUCUUGGUAGCUCUUAUCACAGUAGUAUCAUAUGUGGGCUUUCUUUAGUUGCAUCUGCUCUGAGUGCUGCGGCAUCAUCUGGAGAAAGGGUCAGUACCACUAUUGUAGGCCUUGGGGCCGGGAGUUUACCAAUGUUUCUUCGUGGAUGCCUCCCUCAUCUUGAUAUUGAGGUUGUUGAGUUGGACCCCGUGAUGGAGGAGGUCGCGACGAAAUAUUUUGGCUUUUCAAUGGAUGAGCAAUUGAAGGUGCAUUUGGGGGAUGGAAUCAAAUUCAUUGAAGAAAAUGCCCAUUCUGAACGAAAUGGCAAAGACAGCGAUGCAGUUAGAAUUCUUAUUGUUGAUGUUGAUUCAUCUGAUCUAAGUUCUGGGUUGUCUUGCCCCCCAGCAAACUUUGUCGAAGAUGCUUUCCUUAUGUCAGCAAAAAAGUUCCUUUCAGCUGGGGGUCUCCUCAUCAUCAAUCUAGUCGCGCGAUCAUCUGCAGUCAGGGAAAUGGCCGUUUCACGACUGAAAGCGGUCUUUGAAAACCUAUACUCACUGCAACUCGAAGAAGAUGUGAACGAAGUCCUGUUUGCAUCCCCAAGCAAAAGAUACCUGGAAAUCGAUCACCUUGAUGAGGCUGCAACUAAACUGAAGGCUAUGCUGAAAUUCCCGGUGGAUGUGGAAUCAGACAUGAAGAAUUUGCAGAGGCUGCAGUAG
rnacentral:rRNA from 1 species